CCGACAAGUGACAACUGUGUUUUAUUUAUUGUAUCGUGGGGUUUUAGGUUAUUACUGUUAUUGUUAUUUAUUUUAUUACAAAACUUCUGGCAAUUGCCGAGUAGCAGUUAGCAGUGCCAUCAAACCAGCAAGCAAGCAGCAGUAUUACAAAACUUUUAAUUCAUAAUUUUUCUGUGCUUGGUGGAUAUUUUUAUAAUGCGGUGUGCUGUAGGGGGAUGUAAUUCAGACAACCAGUCUAAGAAAAACACCUUUAGAUAAAAAUGUCAAAUUUCAUCGCUUCCUAAAAAACCCUGAUUGGUGCAAACAAUGGUUACAUGCUACAAAAAGAAAAGACAAAUUUAAUGUUAAGUCGGCUGCUGUGUGCUCUAAACAUUUUUUAGAUAGUGACUACAAGAUUAAUUUAAAACACAAGCUCUUAAACUACACUCCAAAAUGCUACCGUGGCCUAAAAGAUGAUGCUGUGCCAACCCAAAAUUUAAAUCAAUUUAGAAUAGCUUCAGUGCCUUCAAAAAGUCAGCUUAAUCGUCAAAUUUUCAAUGAAAAAAGGCUAAAAGCUCAGUUUAUUAACAAUAUCCUUGCGGAACCAGGAAAUAUGUCAGUCUUUUGUAGAUUUUUUUCCUUAAGUAAAUUUAACAUAAUGGAUUUAAUGGUGAUGGUUCAGGUGAUGGAGGUACUAAUAAUGAAAAUUAAUUGAUGAAAGCUAAUAGUUUGUCUCACAAAGGGUAAUAUUUAAAAUUUUUAUAUCGAGUUUAAUAUAGUAUGUCAGACCAAAAGAAAAAUUAAUAUGGCUAUUUAAAUAAACUGCUCGUCAUAAUGGGGGGACCUACUUUUUUGGAGUGUUCCCCUCAUUAUCACAAGCAGUUUAUAUACAUAACUUGUAUUUUAGAGUUCAAACUGACCAGGAAAGAAAUUUAAUAGAACAACUGCAAAAAGAAAUAGAAAGCCAGAGAAAGGAAAUUGGAAAGCUGGAGUCAAGAAAAUUUUCUCUAAAAAUCAGAUAAAUAAACUUAGGAAAAAAGGAUAAAAUGGUCAGUUAGUGAAAUUUCAAAUGCCAUUGCAGUGUAUUCUGCAGGUGCUCGACCAUAUCGACUCAGCCUAAAGAAUGACUACCAAUAUCCGGCUGUCUCUACUCUAAAAGAAUGGGUAUCAAAGAUAAAGUUGGAGCCUGGUAUUUUAAAAAAAUAUUUUUAAAAUUGCUGCAUAUGCUGAUAUGUCUGAACGUGAUCGCAUAUGCAUUCUAAUGUUUGAUGAAAUGAAAAUUCGUCCGGAAUAUGUUUAUGACCAAUCCAGAGAUUAUCUAAUGCCUGCAUUUAGUUACGUCCAAGUUGUCAUGAUCUCUGGUCUGUUUAAGGCAUGGAAGCAGCCUAUUUUUUUUAGAUUGUGGAUUUCUUGUCGUUGCAAUGGUAUCAGAUUUAGGUGUUAAGAUUAGAUAAGAUUAAGAUUUAGGGUUAAAUGUUCCACAUCUGCUAAAACUAAUCCGGAAUAAUUUUGUGGACUCGGGAUUUUUAGUUAAUGGAAAUUUCAUUAACAAAGAUAUUGUGGAAAAAGCCAUAAAUGUUACAAACCUGUCAGAUUUAAAAAUCACAUAUAAAAUUACACUAGAAAAUUUAAACUGUGUAAGACAAAAAGUGAAGCAUGCCUCAAAACUAUUUUCUCAUACCAUAUCCUGUGCUAUUUCAAGAUGUGGGACACUAGGAUAUUUGUCAGAGAAAAAUUGGGUAGAAGGCUCCGAGUUUUUUAAACUGGUUAAUGACUGGUUUGAUAUUUUUAAUACGAGCAUGACAGUUACUGACUGACAUUCAAGAAAUAAAGCAUUUGGGUUAGCUCUGGACGUUCAAAUGUCCAUUUUAACAAAGAUGAACAAAGUGAUUUCCGAGAUGAAGGUAGUUAAUAGUAAAUGCUAACUGCCAUUUCAAAAAGGUAUUCUCAUCAGUAAUUUAGCAUUGCCACAGUUGCACGCUGACCUACACCGUCGUUUUGGCAUUCAUUACCUGUUAACUAGGCAAAUAAAUCAAGAUGUUUUGGAGAAUUUCUUGGGGUCAUAAGAUCAAAAGGGGGACUAUACGACCAUCUUACCUCAUUAGAAUUUAAAUAUAGGUUAAGGACGUAUGUUUUGGGUAGGAAUGAGGGGGCAUAUUCGGACUAUUUAAAUGUUGAAGUUGACGAUACCCCGGAUAUUCCUCUCAGUGGAUCACUUACCCAGAAACUUAAGCCUUCACUUGAUCCUCCACCAAGCAAUGUAGAGGAUAAUCUUGAAGAAUUAAAUGAAUUGGCCUACGAUGGGUUAGAGAAUUUAGCAGGAUUUAUAUGCCAUAGAUUAAAGAAUCCAUCUUUGCAAAGCACUUCAACGCAAUCAUUUUCGUGGGUCAACCAUUUGGAUGAAGGUUAUUUAUCGAAACCUUCUCCCCUAUUUGUAAAUUCUAUUGAGGAACUAAACAGAGUAUUUACUGAAAUAAAUAGCGAUGGAGAUAUAAAGACUGGUCCCAACUUUAUUAAAACCCUUAUAACGAGAAGCGAGUCAAUUGAAUGUCCUGAGAAAGCCAAACGUCUUUUUUUUAGAGUUAGGAUGUUUUUUCGCAUCAGAGAACUUAAUAAAUCAAUUAAAAAGAACAAAAAUGGGAAUGCGAGCAAAAGGAAAUGGACGAAAAUCUUAUCGUAGCUUUUUUAUAAUAAUUAUGUAGAAACUGUAAAAUUAAAUUUUUUUUUUGUUUUAAAAUAUUUUGUAAUUAUACACAUACUUAUUAAUAAAUCGAGCAAAAAUUUA